rnacentral:lncRNA from 1 species
AACAACUUUGGAUACCACUUUUUAUGGCAAUGCAAGCUCUAGCUGGUGACUAAAGAGUAUGUAAAUCAUGGAGACUUUGGGUGGUCUCCUUUAAGGGGAACCACACAGCAGAAGGAAGAUCUUUUCUCUCCUUCCUGCCAUAUUCCAUGACAUAGUGAUUAGAAUCCCGCAUCAACCUUCGAUCAUGAACCAACUGCAAAAAGAUGGAGCAGAGACUGAAAAGUUGGGUGAGUCUCUCGCUCUAUUCACCAGGGGUGUACCGGACUGCCCAGUUGAUGCUAAUUCUGAUGUAAAAAAAAAAAAAAAAAGGAGGCCCCACACAAAUCACAAAUGCACCAAUAAAUACAAGUGUAUCCCUCCAAGAGAACUCUUUCCAAAGAGUAAGUGGGUAAGGCUGAAGACUCGUUAUGAUGCACCCAAGGAGACCCCUGUCUGGGCCUUCCCCUUCCAGUCUAUUCUGGGGCUGCAGUUUUAUCAGCUGCAGUGUUAAGGAAAACAACCUAAUAGCCUUUCCCUAUUGCAAUAGAUGUCUCCACACUAUAGAUAAUAUUACGUCUUCGCUAAUUCUAAGGAUCUAAUGGAGACUUUAUGUUUGUAUGUAAUUUGUUUAAUGCAGUCACAGGUCUUUGCUGCUAAACAAGCCGCCCCUCCCCGUUGUUUUCUAGGAACCUUAAACAACAGCUUCUGUUCCCCUGGGUUUCAUAGAUCUUAGUCCAUCCACAAGGAGGAAUGGAAAUGCGAAGAAUAAAUUUUUAGGGUUCUGCUCUCAAAUAUUCCCCUAAUUUUUAAGAGGCUGGAGCCAGUCACGGAUACAAGUAAAACACAUUUCCCCCAAUGCUGAGUCUGAGACUGUGAAUUGAGACAGGGAAAUGGUUUUCUUUUCUAGAUGACUAUUUUUCAAACUAGAAAUAUGUUUUGCAUCAAUGAUGUGUUAAGGUCAAGUCAAGGAAAGAGACAAUAUGUCCCAUGUCACGGAGACCGGGAUAAUGAGAGUGUUCUCUGGGAGCUGGCGUGAGGCUGUUCAUUUCACCGGCGAAAGGUUACACCAGACAGAUUGUUUCUCAUUUGAUGUCUUAAAUUAAACCGCUGACAUGGCCUGCCUCAAAGUUAGAAGCUUCUGUUUUCACCAAACAGACCCUAAAGGAAAAUUCCUAUUUGAGAGAGUUGGUCUCCAAGCUGCAGCCUUUGAGGAUUUUCUGUUUUCGAGUCUUGCUUAGGAAUUCAAACAGGUUUUCAACUGCUGGGCAGCUCCUAAUGUGAUCGUGAAGGGGGGCCCGGUGGAUCUGAGGCUUGGCAGUUUGUUAAAGUGCUGUGUAGGAUAGAAGCAAGAUAAAUGUUGUCUAAGUAAGAUUCAGAAACAGUCAUAUACAAGAUGCACACGUGUUCAGACAGGAAAUUGCUGCUGCUACAAAGAAUCCAUCUACCUAUUUGAGAUGUACUUUGGUCAUCCCCUUUGUUCUAAUCCUGGCUUGCCCUCCUCAAUGACCAUUUUGCCUGCCUCUAAAAUUCAGAAAUCAAACGUUACGGUGAGAGCUCAGCUGACCAGCAACACUAAUAUUUCAGCAUGGCAGGGGCUGGCCCAGGCACCGAUGUGCAGCUGAACCAGGUCCCCAGAUGGUUGAGGAAUCCUGGCCCACAGAUCUUAAAGAAACGUAGUGGUGCUAUGCCAGACACAAGAUGGAGGCUGGGGAACUGGGCAGUAAAUAUCUUAGGCAAGGCCUGCUUACAGGGCACUUUCGUUGAGAUAGGGUAGGGAGAGCAUAUAAUAAAUAAGGGGACAGCUGGGAACAUUUCUGGUGGUGUUAAGGAUUAGGACAGGGAAUCAGAGAAUAAUGGGGUGGGGUGAGGAACACUACUAUAAAUAGUGAGCAAGGAAAACCAGCUAGAGAGGAAAAAUUGAUAGAAAGAGAUACCAAGAGAAACAAAGUACAAAGUAUCGAUAAAAAGAGAUACAAAGGAAACAAAGUACAAACUAGUGGGUAAGGGGUCAGAAAAUGUACAUCUGGCCCCUGAUCUCCGGUUCUUUGAAUAUCAGCAACUACUUCAUGUCCUCAUCUGUCAACUAGGACUAAAAAGUACAAACUAGUGGGUAAGGGGUCAGAAAACGUACAUUCUGGCCCCUGAUCUCUGGUUCUUUGUAUAUCAGCAACUACUUCAUGUCCUCAUCUGUCAACUAGGACUAAAAUGACUCAUGGGUGAUGGGAGAAAAUUGUGUGUAAUAGCUGUGUGAGGUACUGCUGGCAGCCCCAGCCAACCCCCACCCCCACCCCUGGCCAGGCUGUAGGCUCCUUGACCUUUCCCUCUGACUCACACGGGGACAUCCAAGGACAGUGUGAUUUAGAGAUGCAAAGGGAGGUAUUAAGAGUUGGGCUUUGCAUCCUUAAUCUACAGCUUCCCUGAGCACCAGACACAAACUUGGCUUCAGUUCCCAGAUUGGAGUUUCUUCCCCCCCCGGGGGGGAGGGGGGCUUUUCACAAUCUUCGGGUGAUCUGGACCUUAAAGCCACUGCCUCUACCAUCUAUCUCUACAUCAUCUUACCUUAGCCUAUGGUUCUUCUUCCCCAAGCUGACACUCCCAAAUUGGUAACUCUUGGCACAUGAUCUUCAUCUUCUUGUGCCCAUUCAUUUUAGGCUGUAUGAUGUACUCGGUGACUGUCACCUUUUUGACACCUGAAGCUGUGAUUUGAGACUUCUUGUACAACUGUCAGAGUGUUUGGGCCUUCUGUCCUGACUACUGGGUCAGGAGGAAAGGGUGUCCCACCCCUGUGAUGUAUUCCAGAAUAGAUCCCAAGUUCUCCCAGUCUGCAUUUCAGAUCAUGCCCUCUUAUUCCCCAGUCACAACAAAUUGCCUCUGGUUAAUUUGAGAAAUGUCUGUAUUUGGUGUUUCUGUAAUUUUAUUUUGUGUUUCAGUUGAGUAAGUGUUGCUGAAUAUCUGUAGAAUGUGUGAUAAUUUUUGUAAAAAAAAAAAAAACUCAAUAAAAGAAACAUUACCAUAG